UUGAACGUUUUACAAUUGGUGGCAGGGGAAGUGAUGAAAUCAUGGAGACGUUGCUCAAGCAACAGCUGCUCCCUACCACUCUUCGCACUCUCUGGAUCACUGAACUUUCAACUCUGAAAUCUUUGGAUGGAAAGGGACUUGCACACCUUACUUUUCUUCGAAGUCUAAAUAUCGGAGGGUGUGACAAUCUCCAAUUCCUGCCAGGAGAGACACUUCAACACCUCACUUCUCUUCAAGAGCUACAUAUUUAUGACUGUCCGAGUCUCCAAUUCCUGCCAGAAGAGGGUCUGCCGCCAUCUCUUUCUUAUCUGAAGAUCGUCAGAUGUUCUGGCCUGGAGAAAAGGUAUCAGAAUAAGACGGGACAAGAUCAUUGGGCCAGCAUAUCUCACAUUCCAUGCAUCGAGAUAAAUGAUGAAGUCAUCAUAUGAUGAUAUGACCCUCUCUCUCUAUUGCCUUGGGAUAUUUCACUCUCAACUCUCAAAUCAAACUCAGGACAGCACCUUCUCUUGGAAAGCUUUUCAUUUGCAAGGUUCCUUUACGUGUCAUUUCCAGGGUAGGGUUUACCAUUGUUCAUAGACUUUUGUUUUUCUACAAAAGCAAUUGUCACAACGAGGGGAGAUGGAAAGGUU